AUCCCACUACCUAACAUAAUACUAGUAAUUUCUCUAUUCUCCCCCGGUGUAACCAGGGAUGGCUUUGGGAACUAACUUGGGAGACCAUAUCAGGUAACAGUGCAUGAAGGCCCACCAGUCCCAUGAGCCUUUGUCGCUCCCAAGUGGCUUCAAGGGGUGAAAUAAGAAAUGUGGUGGCUCCUUAGGAGGAAAAAGCAAGGUGAAAAGUGUAUUUGGGUGGGGACAGCAGAAUAACGAGUAGAUUCUGGGAGAAGAGGACUCCCUGCAAGGGCUCUAGGAGAGCUCCACUGUGGGAGUGGAUGGUGCCCUCCAUCUGCCCCUCUUCAGGAGAAUACUCUGCCUUCACUUUUGUUUCUUGUGUUGGAGCUCACCCAGAUUAUUCCACCUACGGAUUAAAGUUUCUUUUUCCCCACAGGCAAUGAGGAAAUUAUUUCUUUCCCAACUAGUUCUGUCUAAUUCUGGUAAUCUUACUGAGUCAGUCCCUCAGUAAGUGAGUCACUCAGGAAAUACCCGCCCCCACCCCACACCACUUCCCCCCAAUUGGAGCUGCUUAGAGAACUUGAUAUUUUCAUGAACUCUUCCCACACAAGUGCAGUCCGAAAGCAGAGCUAGUGGUGGCAACCAAAGUGAACAAAGAAUUUGGCUUCAUCUAUAAAUAGACAAGAAAGAAGUACAGUUAUGGAGAUGCCCAUGUGGACCUCCUGACAGCAGAAUGUAUUCUGAUACGUCACUUCAUAGUACCAUUUAUGAAGACUAAGUGAGUUCACACAUGACGAGUGUGCAGAACAAUAAAGAAUAAAUAUCACCUGUCACUUUUAGUGCCCCAUCACCACAGCAAUCACAGGUUGUAUUAUCCUUAUUUACAUUUCUGCCAUUCCCCUCCCCCCAGACCCUGAGUUCCCCAAAGGCCAAGUCUGUGUCUUAUCUGUCCCAUGGGCACAAAGUUGACCCAGUGAGAGUUUGUGACAUGAAAGUGUACAUAACUGGUGUGCUGCUGGGGCCUGAAGGUAAGUUUGAUUUGUCACAGGCGGAAGUGUUGACCUCUGGGACAUUUUCACUCAAGGCACAGGAUGAAUCUUGUGCCUCAGUUGCCCUUGGAGGGAAAUAACAGUCUUCUUAGAGUCUCAUAGCAAUGGGGCUGCUGGCUGGGAAACAUUAUCCUAAAAAAAUAAAAACAAAA